GACGAACGCUGGCGGCAUGCCUAAUACAUGCAAGUCGAACGAUGAUAUCACUGCUUGCCGUGAUUGAUUAGUGGCGAACGGGUGAGUAACACGUGAGGAACUUGCCCAUGAGCGGGGGACAACAUUCGGAAACGGAUGCUAAUACCCCAUAGGUGGAUUGGUCGCAUGACGAAUUCAUUAAAGGUGGCUCUGCUACCACUCAUGGAUAGCCUCGCGGCGUAUUAGCUAGUUGGUAAGGUAAUGGCUUACCAAGGCAGUGAUACGUAGCCGACUUGAGAGGGUGAUCGGCCACACUGGGACUGAGACACGGCCCAGACUCCUACGGGAGGCAGCAGUAGGGAAUCUUCCACAAUGGGUGCAAACCUGAUGGAGCAAUGCCGCGUGAGUGAAGAAGGUCUUCGGAUCGUAAAGCGCUGUUGUUAGAGAAGAACACGUGCUAGGUAACUACUAGCACCUUGACGGUAUCUAACCAGAAAGUCACGGCUAACUACGUG
rnacentral:rRNA from 1 species